rnacentral:tRNA from 1 species
AAAUAAUGAAGUAAAAUUUACAUUUAGUUUCGACCUAAAAUUAAGGCCUUAGCCUCUUAUUUA